rnacentral:rRNA from 1 species
GGGGGGGGGGGGGGGGGGGGGGGGGGGGUGGGGGGGGGGGGGGGGGGCGGGGGGGGGGGGCGUCUGGCGUUGGCGGCGGACGGGGGGGUGACCCGUGGCUAGCCUCCCUCUAAGCCUGGGAGGACUUCGGGCAACCGGGGCUGAUCCCGGAUCAUCUAUUGCACCGCCUGGUUCCAUCGUUACCGCCGGUUUUGCUUUCACCUAUCGAUGGAUCCGCGCCGCCUUAGCUCGUUUGUCAGGUCCCGGCGUACCAAGUCAACGAUGCGUAGCCGACCUGAGAGGGUGAUCAGCCACACUGGAACUGAGACACGGUCCAGACUCCUACGGGAGGCAGCAGUAGGGAAUCUUCCGCAAUGGGCGAAAGCCUGACGGAGCAACGCCGCGUGAGUGAUGAAGGUCUUCGGAGCGUAAAACUCUGUUAUUAGGGAAGAACAAAUGUGUAAGUAACUAUGCACGUCUUGACGGUACCUAAUCAGAAAGCCACGGCUAACUACGUG